GCUCCCACAGGAUGACAUGCAAUAUUAGUACUAUUAGAUGUGCAAAAAUGAUUCACAAGAUAAACCCAGAGAUUUCAAAUAGGAAUCUAUAGUGUUA